UUGAAGUCGCAGGUUGAUGACAUCACCAGUCAAGGCCCAUAGGAGCUGUUCAAUCUGAAAUGACACCCUCUAUAGGGCCGUACGUUGGACCAGGAGAGCACCAUGAAAGGGGGCGUUAUUUAGGUCGCAGGUUGAUGACAUCACCAGUCUAUAUAUAAAGGCAGGAUAUGAAAGGAUCACCCUCUAUAGGGCCGUACGUUGGACCAGGAGAGCACCAUGAAAGGGGACGUUAUUUAGGUCGCAGGUUGAUGACAUCACCAGUCUAUAUAUAAAGGCAGGAUAUUAAAGGAUCACCCUCUAUAGGGCCGUACGUUGGACCAGGAGAGCACCAUGAAAGGGGACGUUAUUUAGGUCGCAGGUUGAUGACAUCACCAGUCUAUAUAUAAAGG